UGCUUUCACCGCAGAAACCCCCUAUGAACAUUACAUCAUCCAAAGCACUUCAUCAUUAGCCUUUCAUAUAAAUAAUCUAGGACCACAAGAUAACAACAGUGUAUGACAGAAUUUUGUAUUUUCUCAGUGGCGUUUAGAUUCAAUCUCCAAAAUUCUUUAGUUUCUUUGAAAUGUGCAAUACUCUUUACUGUUUUAUGCUAUAAACUGGAUUUUGUGAACAUAAAUUUACAUUAUACAGAACAAAGUUCUUAGUAAUUUUGCUGGUAUGGACACUUGCUAUUUCGACUCAGAUGAAAGUUACAAAUUCGACAAAUUCUCAAUAUCAAACAUACAUAAUUUAAGGCUAAUUUAACACUUAAAACCGAAGUCAUUGAGAUAUAUGGAGUACCUGAAUCAUUCCCUUGCCUUUGA